GUUAGGAAUAUUGGACAAUGGGCGAAAGCCUGAUCCAGCCAUGCCGCGUGAACGAUGAAGGCCUUCGGGUUGUAAAGUUCUUUAGCCGAUGAUUAUAAUGACUGUAGUCGGAAAAUAAGCCCCGGCUAACUUCGUGCCAGCAGCCGCGGUAAUACGAAGGGGGCGAGCGUUAUUCGGAAUCACUGGGCGUAAAGCGUGCGUAGGCGGUUUUGUAAGUUAGGAGUGAAAGCCCAGGGCUCAACCUUGGAAUUGCUCUUAAAACUGCAAGGCUCGAAUCUCGGAGAGGAUAGCGGAAUUUCCAGUGUAGCAGUGAAAUGCGUAGAUAUUGGAAGGGACACCAGUGGCGUAAGCGGCUAUCUGGACGAGUAUUGACGCUGAGGCACGAAAGCGUGGGGAUCAAACAGGAUUAGAAACCCCGGUAGUCC
rnacentral:rRNA from 1 species